UACUAAAAACUAUUCAAUAUAUUUUUAGAAGAAUCUAAACUUUAGACACUAUAAAGAUAUUAAAAUUUUGAUUAAUACAUAGAAGGAAAAAUAUGGGCAAAUUUCUCAAAUUUAUUUAUCUUAUAAUUCUAUUUUAUUUCGUAUUUAUUGUUGCAAGAGAAGUUGGUGCGCUUGUUAACGAAUGUGAUGAUGAUGACGAUUGUCCCAAAACAUUACUUCUAGAAUAUUUUGUUAUGAAGUGCAUUAAUUACAAAUGUAUUGUUGUUGACUCUGAAGAUCCUUCCAAAACAAAAUGACUCUGAAGAACUUGAUGCAGGAUUAUGAAUAUAUUAUACUAGUGCCAUGAAUGUUUGAUGAGAUGUUAUUUAAUUAUAAUGUAAAUACUAAAUACAAUUUGCAACAUAUAUGCAAUUUGUUAUUAUGGCUUUGUACUUUAAUAUAUUUGUAAUGAAAAAAAAAAAAAAUACUAAAGACUAUCACCUGGGCAAAUUACCACCGGUUUCAUAAUUUUCUAUCAAGAAAAUAUUUGACAUAAUAA